GACGAACGCUGGCGGCGUGCUUAACACAUGCAAGUCGAACGGAAAGGCCCUGCUUUUGGGGGGUGCUCGAGGGGCGAACGGGGGAGUAACACGUGAGUAACCUGCCCUUGACUUUGGGAUAACUUAAGGAAACUGGGGCUAAUACCGGAUAGGAGCUCCUGCUGCAGGGUGGGGGCUGGAAAGUUUCGGCGGUUGGGGAUGGACUCGCGGCUUAUCAGCUUGAUGGUGGGGUGGUGGCUUACCAAGGCAUGGCCGGGUAGCCGGCCUGCGAGGGGAACCGGCCCCGUCGGGCCGGAGCUGCGGCCCAGACCACUCCGCGACGCAGCGGAGCGGAAGAGUGUACUAUGGGAGGAAGGCUGGUGUGGCACCGCCGCGCCGCGGAUGAGGGGAUUCCGGUUGUGAUCCGCAUCCGCCUGUGCCGAAGCGUUAAUGACGGUACCGGGUGAAGAAGCACCGGCUAACUACGUG
rnacentral:rRNA from 1 species